GUGUCAGCAGCCGCGGUAAUACAGAGGUGGCAAGCGUUGUUCGGAAUUACUGGGCGUAAAGGGCGCGUAGGCGGCCUUCUAAGUCAGACGUGAAAUCCCCCGGCUUAACCUGGGAACUGCGUCUGAUACUGGAAGGCUUGAGUGCGGGAGAGGGAUGUGGAAUUCCAGGUGUAGCGGUGAAAUGCGUAGAUAUCUGGAGGAACACCGGUGGCGAAGGCGGCAUCCUGGACCGACACUGACGCUGAGGCGCGAAAGCUAGGGUAGCAAACGGGAUUAGAUACCCCGGUAGUCCUAGCCCUAAACGAUGAGUGCUUGGUGUGGCGGGUAUCGAUCCCUGCCGUGCCGAAGCUAACGCAUUAAGCACUCCGCCUGGGGAGUACGGUCGCAAGGCUGAA
rnacentral:rRNA from 1 species